rnacentral:rRNA from 1 species
AUUGAACGCUGGCGGCAUGCCUUACACAUGCAAGUCGAACGGCAGCACGGGAGCAAUCCUGGUGGCGAGUGGCGAACGGGUGAGUAAUGUAUCGGAACGUGCCCAGUCGUGGGGGAUAACGCAGCGAAAGCUGUGCUAAUACCGCAUACGAUCCAUGGAUGAAAGCGGGGGAUCGCAAGACCUCGCGCGAUUGGAGCGGCCGAUAUCAGAUUAGCUAGUUGGUGGGGUAAAAGCUUACCAAGGCGACGAUAUGUAGCUGGUCUGAGAGGACGACAAGCCACACUGGAACGGUGACACGGUCCAGACACCUACGGGAGGCAGCAGUGGGGAAUUUUGGACAAUGGGCGCAAGCCUGAUCCAGCAAUGCCGCGUGCAGGAUGAAGGCCUUCGGGUUGUAAACUGCUUUUGUACGGAGCGAAAAGGCUCUCUCUAAUACGGGGGGCUCAUGACGGUACCGUAAGAAUAAGCACCGGCUAACUACGUGCCAGCAGCCGCCGCAGUAA